rnacentral:rRNA from 1 species
CCUACGGGAGACAGCAGUGAGGAAUAUUGGUCAAUGGGCUUACGCCUGAACCAGCCAAGUCGCGUGAGGGAAGACUGCCCUAUGGAUUGUAAACCUCUUUUGUCGGGGAGCAAUUCGCGCUACGUGUGCCCUUAUCGAGAGUACCUGCAGAAUAAGCAUCGGCUAACUCCGUGCCAGCAGCCGCGGUAAUACGGAGGAUGCGAGCGUUAUCCGGAUUUAUUGGGUUUAAAGGGUGCGUAGGCGGAAUGCCAAGUCAGCGGUAAAAUCGCGGGGCUCAACCCAGCCCAGCCGUUGAAACUGGCGUUCUUGAGUGGGCGAGAAGUAUGCGGAAUGCGUGGUGUAGCGGUGAAAUGCAUAGAUAUCACGCAGAACUCCGAUUGCGAAGGCAGCAUACCGGCGCCCAACUGACGCUGAAGCACGAAAGCGUGGGUAUCGAACAGGAUUAGAUACCCGAGUAGUC